rnacentral:rRNA from 1 species
AUGCUUGACACGGCGGCCCGGAUCAUGGCGCGCUUCUACGCGCACUGCCCCCACACGUCGUGUCUCUACUACAGGCCCCCGCCGCGGACCACCGCCACAAGCAAUAGUGGCAAGAGCGGGAACGCGAGGAGCUCUGCCAGCGAGGCCGAGGUAUCGUCAGCGAGGAGGAAUCCGCAACAGGAGCAGGCGGUCAGGGUGGUGCUCGAUGCCACGGAGAUCAUCCUCAGCGGGGGCGUGUAG